rnacentral:lncRNA from 1 species
GGGGAAGAUUAAGGGUAUAUGAAUAUUUAUCUUUUCCAUGCAUUGGGGAAGAUAAGGAUAUAUGCAUACUUAUUUAUUUAUAUGCAUAUUUUAUUGAAAGGGGGAAUAUAACUUGUAUAUGCAUAUAUAUAUUUUUAUGCAAUUUUAUUUUAAUACUUAUUGCAUAAAUUGAGGGGGAACUCAAUAAUAACUUGUCUUAUAUUUGGCAUAGUUUUUAUAAGGGUAUAUGC